rnacentral:rRNA from 1 species
GACGAACGCUGGCGGCGUGCCUAAUACAUGCAAGUCGAACGAACUCUGGUAUUGAUUGGUGCUUGCAUCAUGAUUUACAUUUGAGUGAGUGGCGAACUGGUGAGUAACACGUGGGAAACCUGCCCAGAAGCGGGGGAUAACACCUGGAAACAGAUGCUAAUACCGCAUAACAACUUGGACCGCAUGGUCCGAGUUUGAAAGAUGGCUUCGGCUAUCACUUUUGGAUGGUCCCGCGGCGUAUUAGCUAGAUGGUGAGGUAACGGCUCACCAUGGCAAUGAUACGUAGCCGACCUGAGAGGGUAAUCGGCCACAUUGGGACUGAGACACGGCCCAAACUCCUACGGGAGGCAGCAGUAGGGAAUCUUCCACAAUGGACGAAAGUCUGAUGGAGCAACGCCGCGUGAGUGAAGAAGGGUUUCGGCUCGUAAAACUCUGUUGUUAAAGAAGAACAUAUCUGAGAGUAACUGUUCAGGUAUUGACGGUAUUUAACCAGAAAGCCACGGCUAACUACGUGCCAGCAGCCGCGGUAAUACGUAGGUGGCAAGCGUUGUCCGGAUUUAUUGGGCGUAAAGCGAGCGCAGGCGGUUUUUUAAGUCUGAUGUGAAAGCCUUCGGCUCAACCGAAGAAGUGCAUCGGAAACUGGGAAACUUGAGUGCAGAAGAGGACAGUGGAACUCCAUGUGUAGCGGUGAAAUGCGUAGAUAUAUGGAAGAACACCAGUGGCGAAGGCGGCUGUCUGGUCUGUAACUGACGCUGAGGCUCGAAAGUAUGGGUAGCAAACAGGAUUAGAUACCCUGGUAGUCCAUACCGUAAACGAUGAAUGCUAAGUGUUGGAGGGUUUCCGCCCUUCAGUGCUGCAGCUAACGCAUUAAGCAUUCCGCCUGGGGAGUACGGCCGCAAGGCUGAAACUCAAAGGAAUUGACGGGGGCCCGCACAAGCGGUGGAGCAUGUGGUUUAAUUCGAAGCUACGCGAAGAACCUUACCAGGUCUUGACAUACUAUGCAAAUCUAAGAGAUUAGACGUUCCCUUCGGGGACAUGGAUACAGGUGGUGCAUGGUUGUCGUCAGCUCGUGUCGUGAGAUGUUGGGUUAAGUCCCGCAACGAGCGCAACCCUUAUUAUCAGUUGCCAGCAUUAAGUUGGGCACUCUGGUGAGACUGCCGGUGACAAACCGGAGGAAGGUGGGGAUGACGUCAAAUCAUCAUGCCCCUUAUGACCUGGGCUACACACGUGCUACAAUGGAUGGUACAACGAGUUGCGAACUCGCGAGAGUAAGCUAAUCUCUUAAAGCCAUUCUCAGUUCGGAUUGUAGGCUGCAACUCGCCUACAUGAAGUCGGAAUCGCUAGUAAUCGCGGAUCAGCAUGCCGCGGUGAAUACGUUCCCGGGCCUUGUACACACCGCCCGUCACACCAUGAGAGUUUGUAACACCCAAAGUCGGUGGGGUAACCUUUUAGGAACCAGCCGCCUAAGGUGGGACAGAUGAUUAGGGUGAAGUCGUAACAAGGUAGCCG